rnacentral:tRNA from 1 species
GUACCCGUAGCGCAAUUGGAUUAGAGUUUCAGAUUCCGAUUCUGAAGGUUGCAGGUUCGAGCCCUGUCGGGUACACCA